CGUUGAAACACCGGUUUCCGUGGGGAUCACCGAAGUUAAGCAACAUCGAGCCUGGUCCGUACCUAGAUGGGUGACCGCUUGUGAAGAUCAGGUGCUGUAA